UUUUUUUUUUUUUCUUUUUUUUUCACUAGUACUCCUCAUCAGUCGGAUUUGUAUGUACAUUUUUGAUAAUCUAGGGAUGCUGGGAGGAGAGAAGAUCAGCAAAAAAAAUAGAAUCGUGUUAUGUAUUUUACAU
rnacentral:ribozyme from 1 species